AUGAGCUGGAGGUCAUGCAUGCCCUCGACAGGCAGCAGAGGAACAACAAGGAUCUCUGUGAUGAUGAGGCUCAAUGGGGUUCCUCUCAAAGGGAGUCAGCUGGCCUCCAUGCUGAUCCAUCUGGCCGACAUGUCGUUGGCUUGGGCGGCGGGUACAGGGCAUGCGGGGCGUAGUGGUCCAGGAGCUCGACCUGCGUGGUACUUCUUUGGCGCAGGGCAUAUGUGGAAUCGAUGUGAGCAGGUGAUGAAUCAACGCAUGCUUACCAAGAACACAAAAGGAAGUGCAUUUGGAGGUAGUGCAUCAAUGUUCACACCGGAAAUUGAUCUAGGAACACUCAGCGACCAAGCAUUCUGGUGA
rnacentral:rRNA from 1 species